UUGGCACCUCGAUGUCGGCUCAUCUCAUCCUGGGGCUGUAGCCGGUCCCAAGGGUAUGGCUGUUCGCCAUUUAAAGAGGUACGUGAGCUGGGUUUAAAACGUCGUGAGACAGUUUGGUCCCUAUCUUCCGUGGGCGCUGCAAGAUUGAGAGAGCCUGCUCCUAGUACGAGAGGACCGGAGUGGACGCACCUCUGGUGUAUCGGUUGUCACGCCAGUGGCAUUGCCGAGUAGCUAAGUGCGGAAGAGAUAACCGCUGAAAGCAUCUAAGCGGGAAGCCUGCUCCAAGAUGAGGUUUCCAACACCCCCCCUUUUUUGUGGGGUGUGAAGGCCCCCAGCAGACUACUGGGUAGAUAGGCC
rnacentral:rRNA from 1 species